rnacentral:rRNA from 1 species
GUUGAACGCUGGCGGCAGGCCUAACACAUGCAAGUCGAGCGGAUGAAGGGAGCUUGCUCCUGGAUUCAGCGGCGGACGGGUGAGUAAUGCCUAGGAAUCGGCCUGGUAGUGGGGGAUAACGUCCGGAAACGGGCGCUAAUACCGCAUACGUCCUGAGGGAGAAAGUGGGGGAUCUUCGGACCUCACGCUAUCAGAUGAGCCUAGGUCGGAUUAGCUAGUUGGUGGGGUAAAGGCCUACCAAGGCGACGAUCCGUAACUGGUCUGAGAGGAUGAUCAGUCACACUGGAACUGAGACACGGUCCAGACUCCUACGGGAGGCAGCAGUGGGGAAUAUUGGACAAUGGGCGAAAGCCUGAUCCAGCCAUGCCGCGUGUGUGAAGAAGGUCUUCGGAUUGUAAAGCACUUUAAGUUGGGAGGAAGGGCAGUAAGUUAAUACCUUGCUGUUUUGACGUUACCAACAGAAUAAGCACCGGCUAACUUCGUG